rnacentral:snRNA from 1 species
AGAUGUGAUGGCAGUAUGUCUGUGACAUCUUUCACUCUAUUUAUCACCAGAGUUGAUUCAUCUAAUCUUGCUGAUAAGUCAGGUGUUACUUUCCUUCUUCAAUGCUUCAUGCAUAUUGCCUGAAACUACUGACAUUAUCAAGGAGGAAGACUACCCCAAUAAAGCAGGACCAUUCCUUGGUGAAUCCUAUAAAAACAUCUGUGAUCCUCUGCUAGCACCUCUAACCAAGCUCUCAGAAUGACAGUUGCCUAGAGAACUUGUUCAUCAGAGUAUUGAACAAUCCCAUUACUGUACUCCUUUCACCAAGAUAGAAGGAAGCAUGG